rnacentral:rRNA from 1 species
AACGCUAGCUACAGGCUUAACACAUGCAAGUCGAGGGGUAGCAGGGUAGCAAUACCGCUGACGACCGGCGCACGGGUGAGUAACACGUAUCCAACCUUCCCAUAACUCAGGGAUAGCCUUUCGAAAGAAAGAUUAAUACCUGAUAGCACUUAUAUAAGGCAUCUUAAAUAAGUUAAAGAUUUAUUGGUUAUGGAUGGGGAUGCGUUCCAUUAGAUAGUUGGUGAGGUAACGGCUCACCAAGUCUUCGAUGGAUAGGGGUUCUGAGAGGAAGGUCCCCCACAUUGGUACUGAGACACGGACCAAACUCCUACGGGAGGCAGCAGUGAGGAAUAUUGGUCAAUGGGCGAGAGCCUGAACCAGCCAAGUAGCGUGAAGGAUGAAGGUCCUAUGGAUUGUAAACUUCUUUUAUAGUAGAAUAAAGUGAGCCACGUGUGGUUUUUUGUAUGUAUACUAUGAAUAAGGAUCGGCUAACUCCGUGCCAGCAGCCGCGGUAAUACGGAGGAUCCGAGCGUUAUCCGGAUUUAUUGGGUUUAAAGGGUGCGUAGGCAGAAUAAUAAGUCAGUUGUGAAAGUUUGCGGCUCAACCGUAAAAUUGCAGUUGAUACUGUUAUUCUUGAGUGUACAUAAGGUAGGCGGAAUUCGUGGUGUAGCGGUGAAAUGCUUAGAUAUCACGAAGAACUCCGAUUG